UACAGAGGUCUCAAGCGUUGUUCGGAUUCAUUGGGCGUAAAGGGUGUGUAGGUGGCGCCGUAAGUCGGGUGUGAAAUUUCGGAGCUUAACUCCGAAACUGCAUUCGAUACUGCGGUGCUUGAGGACUGGAGAGGAGACUGGAAUUCAUGGUGUAGCAGUGAAAUGCGUAGAGAUCAGGAGGAACACCGGUGGCGAAGGCGGGUCUCUGGGCCGAAACUGACGCUGAGGAGCGAAAGCGUGGGGAGCAAACAGG
rnacentral:rRNA from 1 species